rnacentral:rRNA from 1 species
GAUGAACGCUGGCGGCGUGCUUAACACAUGCAAGUCGAACGGAAAGGCCCAAGCUUGCUUGGGUACUCGAGUGGCGAACGGGUGAGUAACACGUGGGUGAUCUGCCCUGCACUUCGUGAUAAGCCUGGGAAACUGGGUCUAAUACCGGAUAGGACCACAUUUUGGAUGGUGUGGUGGAAAGUUUUUCGGUGUGGGAUUAGCUCGCGGCCUAUCAGCUUGUUGGUGGGGUAAUGGCCUACCAAGGCGUCGACGGGUAGCCGGCCUGAGAGGGUGUACGGCCACAUUGGGAGUGAGAUACGGCCCAGACUACUACGGGAGGCAGCAGUGGGGAAUAUUGCACAAUGGGCGCAAGCCUGAUGCAGCGACGCCGCGUGGGGGAUGACGGCCUUCGGGUUGUAAACUCCUUUCGCUAGGGACGAAGCGUUUUUGUGACGGUACCUGGAGAAGAAGCACCGGCUAACUACGUG